AGUGAACGCUGGCGGUAGGCCUAACACAUGCAAGUCGAACGGCAGCACAGUAAGAGCUUGCUCUUACGGGUGGCGAGUGGCGGACGGGUGAGGAAUACAUCGGAAUCUACUUUUUCGUGGGGGAUAACGUAGGGAAACUUACGCUAAUACCGCGUACGACCUACGGGUGAAAGCAGGGGAUCUUCGGACCUUGCGCGAUUGAAUGAGCCGAUGUCGGAUUAGCUAGUUGGCGGGGUAAAGGCCCACCAAGGCGACGAUCCGUAGCUGGUCUGAGAGGAUGAUCAGCCACACUGGAACUGAGACACGGUCCAGACUCCUACGGGAGGCAGCAGUGGGGAAUAUUGGACAAUGGGCGCAAGCCUGAUCCAGCCAUACCGCGUGGGUGAAGAAGGCCUUCGGGUUGUAAAGCCCCUUUGUUGGGAAAGAAAAGCAGCAGGUUAAUACCCCGCUGUUCUGACGGUACCCAAAGAAUAAGCACCGGCUAACUUCGUG
rnacentral:rRNA from 1 species